AUUGAACGCUGGCGGCAGGCUUAACACAUGCAAGUCGAACGAGUGGCGGACGGGUGAGUAAUGCUUGGGAAUCUAGCUUAUGGAGGGGGAUAACUACUGGAAACGGUAGCUAAUACCGCAUACCAUCAGAUGAACCCAUAUGGGAUUAGCUUGUAGGUGAGGUAACGGCUCACCUAGGCGACGAUCCCUAGCUGGUCUGAGAGGAUGAUGGUCCACACUGGGACUGGGGAACGGCCCGGACUCCUAAGGGAGGCAGCAGUGGGGAAUUUUGCUCAAUGGGUGCAAGCCUGAUGAAGAAAUGCCGCGUGUAUGAAGAAGGCCUUCGGGUUGUAAAGUACUUUCAGUCGGGAGGCGUUACCGACAGAAGAAGCACCGGCUAACUCCGUGCCAGCAGCCGCGGUAAUAC
rnacentral:rRNA from 1 species